rnacentral:rRNA from 1 species
UACGGGGGGAGCAAGCGUUGUUCGGAUUUACUGGGCGUAAAGGGCGCGUAGGCGGUUGUGACAAGUCACUUGUGAAAUCUCCGGGCUUAACUCGGAACGGUCAAGUGAUACUGUCGGACUAGAGUACAGAAGGGGCAACUGGAAUUCUCGGUGUAGCGGUGAAAUGCGUAGAUAUCGAGAGGAACACCUGCGGCGAAGGCGGGUUGCUGGGCUGAUACUGACGCUGAGGCGCGAAAGCCAGGGGAGCGAACGGG